UGCUCGAUUUUAACGUCAGCAGGUCGACUUGAUCAUGUCUACAUGUCUGCUCAUAAGAUACUUGCGUUUAUGAGCGGUUGAACAGGUGGACCUAAAAAAGUGGCCGGCGAGUUAACCCCCCACGCCAUGUUUUCAAGCAUGUCUCUCUUUUUCUUCUCCAUCAGAUGAUGGCAGUGGACGGUUUACAGGAGGAGGCAUGGCCGGGAGGAUGUGACAUCACAGCACACCAGCGUGAUACCAAUUGGCUACAGACUUACCAGGUCGGCCCAGUGGUUUCCAGGGUUUGGCGUCAUCACCACCACGACGUGGCC